rnacentral:rRNA from 1 species
GUCAGGAUGAACGCUGGCGGCGUGCCUAACACAUGCAAGUCGAACGGAGUAAUUAAGCGGAAGUUUCGGAUGGAAGCAUAGUUACUUAGUGGCGGACGGGUGAGUAACGCGUGGGCAACCUGCCCUGUACCGGGGGAUAACACUUAGAAAUAGGUGCUAAUACCGCAUAAGCGCACAGCUUCGCAUGAAGGUGUGUGAAAAACUCCGGUGGUACAGGAUGGACCCGCGUCUGAUUAGCUAGUUGGUGGGGUAGAGGCCUACCAAGGCGACGAUCAGUAGCCGGCCUGAGAGGGUGACCGGCCACAUUGGGACUGAGACACGGCCCAAACUCCUACGGGAGGCAGCAGUGGGGAAUAUUGCACAAUGGGGGAAACCCUGAUGCAGCGACGCCGCGUGAGUGAAGAAGUAUUUCGGUAUGUAAAGCUCUAUCAGCAGGGAAGAAAAUGACGGUACCUGACUAAGAAGCCCCGGCUAACUACGUGCCAGCCGCCGC